rnacentral:lncRNA from 1 species
GUCAGUUAGGAGCCCUGUCGGCAGCAAGCUAAGGGUUUACCUUAGUAUGAAAGUUCUGUAUUUAAAAAAGAAAACAACUAUGCACCAGAUUCUCAGAUUUCAUUACAAUUAGGAAAGGUUGCAAAUCAGGUAAACAUAAAAAAGCCAUUUCACUCUGUGUGUGUGUGUGUGUGUGUGUGUGUGUGUGUGUGUGUGUGUGAGUGUGGUGUCCGAAAACCUUCCAUACAAAGCAGCUCCUGAUAAGGAGUCUGGACAGCAUUCGCUGAACAAAAUUUAAUUUUGGUAUUCUGGGUCUCCUCGCUGAAGGGAAUUUUAACAGCAGGCCUUGAGGUGAAGGAAUAAGAAACGGCGCUUUAGUUAAGGUUUUCUCCACAGGAAAAUGUACAAAGCACUGUCUUAUUUCUUAGCGAAAAAAAUAACAUGCAUGUAAAGUCGGCCACCGCAUUUUCUUUCAAUAAUAGAAACACCAUACUACAGCCAACAUCCCAGAGCACAGCGUCCACUAUUGUGUUAGUACCGGCAGCGGAAGGACUUAGCCGCACAGCAACAUUAAAGAGUCCUUCUUUGUUCAGUCCAGACCGGAGACGCAGGGUGCGGUGUUCUUCCGCGCUCUCCCGGCAGUCCCCGCCUCUCGGCGGUCCUGGAGAGCUGCCAUUCGGCCUUGGAGUCGCUCCGCGCUCCCAGAAUGCACCGGCAGUCCGCGGGAAACCAAAAUGGCGAAGGGCUGUAGCGAAGUGGGCUGUGUUUGAGGCCGGUAGACUCUACAGGGGCAGGAUGGACAUAAAGCCAAAAAGCCAGCAUGUAAAUUUGAAGAGGGUCAGGAUGUCCUAGCUAGAUGGUCAGAUGGCUUGUUUUAUCUUGGAACUAUCAAAAAGGCAAGUUAUUUUAAUAUAUUUUUGCUGUUUUUUACACUAAACUUUUUUGGUACAUUUUAGGUAUACAACACAAUUACAUUUCUCAUUGGGAACUUGUACCUUUACAUGAUGCAUCUUGAUUAUUACUUUUUCCCCAUUCCUAGCCCUCCCUUCACCC